UCUGGCGGUGGUUCGGCGGCGGCAGUGGCAGCAUUCAUGGUGCCGUGGGCGCUGGGGUCAGACACGGGCGGUUCCAUCCGCCAGCCCGGA
rnacentral:tRNA from 3 species